AACGAGGAAAAAAAUAGCUACUAUUGAUUUGUUUUUGCAGAGAUAUAUUUUUUGGAGCAUCUGAUGUAACGUGGUUCUAUUUAAGUGGCAUGCUCCUUCCUACACACUAGAAUAGUUUGCUUGGUGAUGUCACGAGGUGGCUCCAUCCUGCCAUUGUGCUUGAUAUGAUUAAACCACUACAUCCAAUCCUAUCUCCAAGGCCUUACAAGCCACAUCCUAAAGCACAAGCCCUACCUCUGUCCCAAUACAACACUCCCCCAUGUGCCUCUGUUCGUACCUGUGUUUGAACUUUGUUUAAUAAAUACC